ACGGCGCGACAGUAGAAGUGCCAGGAGGGUGGCAGGCAACAGGCAGGUGUGAGCAUGAAAGCGCAGAAAGAGGCGAUGGGGAGGCAGUGUACAGCAGAUGGGUGGAGGUGCCAGGAGGAUGGCGGGCAAUGGGCCAGUGAGAUCGCUAGGGGGUCUUUGGGUGAUGGGCAGGCGUGGGCGUACUAUUGACAUCAUGGAUGUGUCCUCACAACAAGGCUCCACCACGAGCAUGGCAAACUUUACAAAAUACUACACGAAUGCGAAACGCGACAAACUCUACAACGUCAUUAGCCUGGAGUUCACCAAGACUAAGUUGGAGCCUCAAGUGGAGUCACCCAGUCUGGUACGUCAUAUGGAUGGAGUGGACUUGGUGUGGCCGGAAACAUUGCGCGCUUUGCAGCAGGAGGCCACCAACCGACUGGUCGACAUGAAAUAUCCCAAAGUGCAAAAGUACUGCCUGAUGAGCGUCGGUGGCUGCUACACAGAUUUCCGUAUCGACUUUGGUGGCACAUCCGUCUGGUAUCACAUUCUCAAGGGUGGAAAGGUUUUCUGGCUGAUUCCUCCGACCCCAAUCAAUCUUCAGAUCUAUGAGCAGUGGGUGUUGUCGGGUAAACAGCAGGAUAUAUUCCUGGGUGACAUGGUCGAGAAGUGUGCCCGCGUCGAAUUGAAACCAGGCUUGACUUUUGUCAUUCCUACUGAAUCUGCGUGUGUCGCCCGCACCAAUACCUGACAACAUUGUGGAAAUAGUGGCAGUUGAAACAGAGAUUGUAUGCAAGUCCUCAGCUGCUACUGCAUCUCCAAGAAAGACAGAAGGUAUAUCAUCUCGGGACGACCACAUUUAAGUCUGAAUUUGAAGUGCGAAGAUGCUUCAGCAACCACAUCGUACUUUUCCAUUGCUUUCAUUGUGCUUCUACUGUGCAUGUGUGUAACUUGUGGGGUAUAUAAUUAUGUGAUGACAUUGUAUGCUGGCGACACGGUCAGUUUUUGUCCAUGCGUGUAACGUACACCUGCAUGUUAUGCAUUGAAAAGGAUCUGCCACUUGCGAUCCUGGGACAAGUAUCAGGUCAGCUUUGUCUUGUGUGGGCUGUACCAGAUUGCUGUUCACUUUUCCAUCUGUUGGAUAUGUGACUUUCUGCAAGUCUCUGGUGUAUGGUGGCCACUUCUUUGCUUGUCACUUUGUAUGAUAUUACAUUCUGUAUUCGCUGCUUCCAUGGCGUGGUCUGCAAACUGCAAUCCUUGGGCAAAUGUCAUGUUUGCUAUGUUGUGCUUUGGCCGUCAGCUUGUCUACACGUUGUAGUUGAAUUAUUUUGUUCCACAACUGACUUCCUUUUAAAAGUACGGUGGCCACUGCUUUGCAUGGCAUUUUA